AGUGAACGCUGGCGGUAGGCCUAACACAUGCAAGUCGAACGGCAGCACAGUAAGAGCUUGCUCUUACGGGUGGCGAGUGGCGGACGGGUGAGGAAUACAUCGGAAUCUACUUUUUCGUGGGGGAUAACGUAGGGAAACUUACGCUAAUACCGCAUACGACCUACGGGUGAAAGCAGGGGAUCUUCGGACCUUGCGCGAUUGAAUGAGCCGAUGUCGGAUUAGCUAGUUGGCGGGGUAAAGGCCCACCAAGGCGACGAUCCGUAGCUGGUCUGAGAGGAUGAUCGGGCCAGCUGGAGGUGAGACAGGGCAAAGGCUCCAACGGGCGGCAGCGGUGGGGAAGAGUGAAAAAUGGGCGGAGGCCUGGUCAAGCCAGACCGCGUGGAUGAAGAAGGCCUUCGUGUUGUAAAGCCCUUUUGUUGGGAAAAAAAAGCAGCAGCUGAAGCCCCCGGUGUUCUGCCGGAACCAAAAGAGAAGGAACCGGUUAACUUCGG
rnacentral:rRNA from 1 species